GACGUAGGUGGCAAGCGUUAUCCGGAUUUACUGGGUGUAAAGCGUGUGCAGGCGGUCGUGUAAGUAGCGCGUGAAAGCGCCCGGCUUAACCGGGCGAGGACGUGCUGUACUGCAUGACUGGAGGUUGGUAGAGGCGAGUGGAAUUCCGGGUGUAGUGGUGAAAUGCGUAGAUAUCCGGAGGAACACCUGAGGCGAAGGCGACUCGCUGGGCCACACCUGACGCUCAGACACGACAGCAUGGGGUGCGAACGGG
rnacentral:rRNA from 1 species